CCAGAGGGUCGGGCGACCGCGUUGCACGCAAGUGUGCCGAGGAAAGUCCGGGCUCCACGGAAACACGGUGCCGGGUAACGCCCGGCGGCUUCGGCCUCGGUCGGAGUUAGGGAAAGUGCCACAGAGAGCAGACCGCCCACCGCCUUUGGGCAGGGGCAAGGGUGAAAGGGUGCGGCAAGAGCGCACCGCGCGACCGGCAACGGAAGCGGCAUGGCAAACCCCACCGGGAGCAAGAUCGAAUAGGGAUCGCAUAUGGGGAGUUCCGCCCCCGCGAUCCGGGUUGAUUGCUUGAGCCGUCAUGCAAAUGCCGGCCUAGAGGAAUGGUCGCCUAUCGCGUGUACCUCCCUGAAAAGGGAAAGGGCCGCGUGGACAGAACCCGGCUUACAGACCCUCUGGCACC
rnacentral:RNase_P_RNA from 1 species